rnacentral:misc_RNA from 1 species
GAAAAGUUGAAGGGAGAAAAUGAAAUGAAGAGGAGAAAAUGACCAGAAGACUGGUCUGGUCAAGGGAGAUCUGAACAUCUCUGCCUUGGUUUGAGGUCCAAACAUGAUCAUCAUAUCCUCAUCCAAUCUUGUAGUUGUCAUAACUGCUUGGACCCUCAAGAUUGUUUCUGCUAACUCGUAAGUCAAUAUAAAUCCAUUUAUUAGAAGAGUUU